CGCGGUAUUAUGACCGUGCAAAGGUAGCAUAAUAAUUAGUCUUUUAAUUGAAGGCUAGAAUGAAUGGUUGGACAAGAAAUUAACUGUAUUAGGUAAAAAUAUUAAAUUUAACUUUUAAGUGAAAAGGCUUAAAUAAAUUAGAGGGACGAUAAGACCCUAUAAAACUUUAUAUAUUUAUGAACUAGUAAUUAUUUUUAUUUAUAAAAUUUUAGAUCAGAGUAUUUUAUUGGGGCGAUAAAAAUAAAAUUUAAAGUAACUGUUUUAUUUUUUAACAAUAAUAUUUGAAUUUUAGAUCCUAAAAAGGAUCAAUAGAUUAAGUUACUUUAGGGAUAACAGCGUUAUUUUUUUUAAGAGUUCAUAUCGACAAAAAAG
rnacentral:rRNA from 1 species